rnacentral:lncRNA from 1 species
UUUGAAUUUAAUUUGUAUUGUAUGAUUGAACUCUUUGCUGGUGACCUGCAUCUGAUGAAGGACACAGAACUCUUUCCAUGCUGGCUCUGCUUGCUCAUAACCCUGUUUCCAGGGCUUGUGUGGAGAUGGCUGGCAAAAACAGGAAUGGAAGCAGUGACAGCAACUCCCACUCAUCUGAUGAGGCUGGAAAAGCGAGAAGAUAUCUGGGAGGAAGAGCCAUUUUCUUUCAAUCAAUUAUUAACUGUUCAUUGCCAAAGAAGAUUAUGGAAGAACUCCAGCCCAUAUCCAAGUGUUACAAGUCUAUAUUUGUCUUCUAUAAUGAAGGUUGAAAAAGAUUGCCAAAUGUGGAAGAUUACCAAGAGUGCAAGCAUGGUGGACCUGCUGCUGUUUGUAACCAUGAGGAGGAAUGACUGACCAUCCUCUGCAAGGUGCAAAGGAUGCAAUUACAUGUCCCUACAUGUACUCUCACAAAAGUAUUCUGUGGGCUAGAAAGGAAACUUAGGGAUAGGUUGGGAAAGGAUUACAGCAAGUAUUACUGGUAGCUGGGAAAUAUAUGAUGUUAGCCCCUAAAAAAGGUCUUUUCCUCUUUUGCUGUAUUUUCACUAUAAAUGCACAAGUAAAAAAAUAAACCUGAAAUAAUUACAGAAAUUAGAAAAUGG